AUGGGAAUUCUUGAAUUCCUGCCCAGAAAAACUGCGGGAAUUCCCCAAAUACACAGCCGGAAAAAACACGGGAAUGACGGAAUUCACAGCUGGAAAAACACUGGGAAUGACGGAAUUCACAGACGGAAAAACAAUGGGAAUGACGGAAUUCCCAACAGGAAAAACACCGGGAAUGUCGGAAUUCACAGCCGGAAAAACAACAGGAAUUCCCCAAAUUCCCACCUGGAAAAACAACGGGAAUUCACACCAGCAAAAUGGGAAUUGGUGCUGGGAAACAAAAAUUCCAGAAUUCCCACCCGGAAAAAUAGGAACUGGGACUCAGAAAAAUGGGAAUUCCCAAAUUCACACCCGGAAACAACAGGAAUUCACACCCAGGAAACUGGGAUUUGCACCCGGAUAAACAACGGGAAUUCACAGCCGGAAAAAAAAACUGGGAAUUUUGUGAAAAAUUUGGGAAAAACCAUCUGGAAUUUUGGGAAAAAAGUCAGGAAUUUUGGGAAUAGCCUUAGGAGAUUUGGGAAAAACCCUCUGGAAUUUUGGGAAAAUUUUGGGAAAAACCCUCUGGAAUUGUGGGAAAAUUUUGUGAAAUUUAAAAAAAAACCCUCAGGAAUUUUGGGAAAAUUUUGGGAGAACCCCUCCGGGAUUUUGGGGAAUUUCAAGAGAAAAGCUCGGGAAUUUUGUCCAAAAAUUUGGGGAAUUUUGGGCAAACCCCUGGGAAUUUUGGGGAAUUUUGGGGAAUUUUGGGCAGAACCCCGGGGAAUGUUGGGGAAUUUGGGAAUUUGGGGAAUUUUGGGAAUUUCAGCACUCACGGGUCGGUCUUGGGGCGCGGUGGCGGCGGCGGAUCCGCCCACGGCAGCGGCUCCGGAACGGCCCCGAGGGGCAACGACGGAUCUGGAGCUGCGGAGAAAAAAAACCGGAAAUUUUGGGAAUUUUUUUGGAAUUUUUGGGCUUUUUUGGGAAUUUUUUGGCAAAUUUUUGGCAAAUUUUUGGGGUAUUUUAAGGAUUUUUGAGUAA
rnacentral:lncRNA from 1 species